ensembl:rRNA 5S_rRNA 5S ribosomal RNA
GCUUACGGCCAUACCACCCUGAGAACGCCCGAUCUCGUCUGAUCUCGGAAGCUAAGCAGGGUCGGGCCUGGUUAGUACUUGGAUGGGAGACCGCCUGGGAAUACCAGGUGCUGUAAGGU